rnacentral:rRNA from 1 species
AGGAUGAACGCUGGCGGCGUGCCUAAUACAUGCAAGUCGAGCGAACGGACGAGAGUGCUUGCACUCUCUGAUGUUAGCGGCGGACGGGUGAGUAACACGUGGGUAACCUACCUAUAAGACUGGGAUAACUUCGGGAAACCGGAGCUAAUACCGGAUAAUAUUUAGCUUCGCAUGAAGCAAUAGUGAAAGACGGUUCUGCUGUCACUUAUAGAUGGACCCGCGGUGUAUUAGCUAGUUGGUGAGGUAACGGCUCACCAAGGCAACGAUACAUAGCCGACCUGAGAGGGUGAUCGGCCACACUGGGACUGAGACACGGCCCAGACUCCUACGGGAGGCAGCAGUAGGGAAUCUUCCGCAAUGGACGAAAGUCUGACGGAGCAACGCCGCGUGAGUGAAGAAGGUUUUCGGAUCGUAAAACUCUGUUGUAAGGGAAGAACAAGUACGUUAGUAACUGAACGUACCUUGACGGUACCUUACCAGAAAGCCACGGCUAACUACGUGCCAGCAGCCGCGGUAAU